GACAGAGGUGCCGAGCGUUAGGCGGAAUCACUGGGCUUAAAGCGUGUGUAGGCGGGCGGGCAAGUACCUUGUGAAAUCCCACGGCUCAACCGUGGAACGGCUGGGUAUACUGCCUGUCUUGAGCCAACUAGGGGCGAGCGGAACAGACGGUGGAGCGGUGAAAUGCGUAGAUAUUGGGAGGAACACCAGUGGCGAAGGCGGCUCACUGGACCGGUUCUGACGCUGAAGCGCGAAAGCGUGGGGAGCAAACGGG
rnacentral:rRNA from 1 species